GAUACCGGCAAUCACAUCGCUCAUGGCUAUUGUUGUUACUGUGUUGACCAGAUAUUGUUAGGAUGGAUACUUAAAUAUAAUUAGUUACGAUUACUUGAAUAUUAUAUAUGAAAAUCGUCUUCAGCGUAACUUGCGGGAUAACUAAACCGCGUAUGAUAAGCUUCCAUAAGAUAAAUACUAAUACGAUGGUUCAUUCGCGUAAUCGUUUUAUACGUACGGCGGCCGAACAAUUUGUCUGCUGGGUUUUGAUUAACGUUGAACUCUUAAGACAUUGUUUGAUGCUCCUGGCUCAUCUUUGCCGAUCUUCCUGCUAAGCAUUCGUCAAUUUAAAUUAGAAUGGAGAACGUAAAUGCUGAUUGGGGGAGUAAAACUGCGUUGCUCUUUCGCUGUUGCGCUCUCUAUAUAAACACGCCCUGCAAGUUGAAGUAUUCUAUGCAUCCAUGAAAAAUGUAUUCCAUAUGGGUCAGAAAGUACACCAAUAUUAAUCGUAAUAUAUAUUAAAUAUCUUGUGAAAUGAUUUGCGAUGUCAGAGAGCAGAACUAAGUAUAUGCUACAACGCUGCAUAAUAUCAAAGUACUACUCAGAGCAUUCAUCAGCCACAUCCGUUGGAUUCUGUUUGAGAAAGAGCGCCCUCUGUACGACAUAUUUAUAAAUUUGGCAGCCGCAUAAUUCAUUUUAGGACGACCUUAA